rnacentral:rRNA from 3 species
AAAUUGAAGAGUUUGAUCAUGGCUCAGAUUGAACGCUGGCGGCAGGCCUAACACAUGCAAGUCGAACGGUAACAGGAAGCAGCUUGCUGCUUUGCUGACGAGUGGCGGACGGGUGAGUAAUGUCUGGGAAACUGCCUGAUGGAGGGGGAUAACUACUGGAAACGGUGGCUAAUACCGCAUAACGUCGCAAGACCAAAGAGGGGGACCUUCGGGCCUCUUGCCAUCAGAUGUGCCCAGAUGGGAUUAGCUUGUUGGUGAGGUAACGGCUCACCAAGGCGACGAUCCCUAGCUGGUCUGAGAGGAUGACCAGCCACACUGGAACUGAGACACGGUCCAGACUCCUACGGGAGGCAGCAGUGGGGAAUAUUGCACAAUGGGCGCAAGCCUGAUGCAGCCAUGCCGCGUGUAUGAAGAAGGCCUUCGGGUUGUAAAGUACUUUCAGCGGGGAGGAAGGUGUUGUGGUUAAUAACCACAGCAAUUGACGUUACCCGCAGAAGAAGCACCGGCUAACUCCGUGCCAGCAGCCGCGGUAAUACGGAGGGUGCAAGCGUUAAUCGGAAUUACUGGGCGUAAAGCGCACGCAGGCGGUCUGUCAAGUCGGAUGUGAAAUCCCCGGGCUCAACCUGGGAACUGCAUUCGAAACUGGCAGGCUUGAGUCUUGUAGAGGGGGGUAGAAUUCCAGGUGUAGCGGUGAAAUGCGUAGAGAUCUGGAGGAAUACCGGUGGCGAAGGCGGCCCCCUGGACAAAGACUGACGCUCAGGUGCGAAAGCGUGGGGAGCAAACAGGAUUAGAUACCCUGGUAGUCCACGCCGUAAACGAUGUCUACUUGGAGGUUGUGCCCUUGAGGCGUGGCUUCCGGAGCUAACGCGUUAAGUAGACCGCCUGGGGAGUACGGCCGCAAGGUUAAAACUCAAAUGAAUUGACGGGGGCCCGCACAAGCGGUGGAGCAUGUGGUUUAAUUCGAUGCAACGCGAAGAACCUUACCUGGUCUUGACAUCCACGGAAGUUUUCAGAGAUGAGAAUGUGCCUUCGGGAACCGUGAGACAGGUGCUGCAUGGCUGUCGUCAGCUCGUGUUGUGAAAUGUUGGGUUAAGUCCCGCAACGAGCGCAACCCUUAUCCUUUGUUGCCAGCGGUUAGGCCGGGAACUCAAAGGAGACUGCCAGUGAUAAACUGGAGGAAGGUGGGGAUGACGUCAAGUCAUCAUGGCCCUUACGACCAGGGCUACACACGUGCUACAAUGGCGCAUACAAAGAGAAGCGACCUCGCGAGAGCAAGCGGACCUCAUAAAGUGCGUCGUAGUCCGGAUUGGAGUCUGCAACUCGACUCCAUGAAGUCGGAAUCGCUAGUAAUCGUGGAUCAGAAUGCCACGGUGAAUACGUUCCCGGGCCUUGUACACACCGCCCGUCACACCAUGGGAGUGGGUUGCAAAAGAAGUAGGUAGCUUAACCUUCGGGAGGGCGCUUACCACUUUGUGAUUCAUGACUGGGGUGAAGUCGUAACAAGGUAACCGUAGGGGAACCUGCGGUUGGAUCACCUCCUUACCUUAAAGAA